rfam:Tupaia chinensis contig66062, whole genome shotgun sequence.
GUGCUCGCUUCAGUAGCACAUAUACUAAAAUUGGAAUGAAACAGAGAUUAGCAUGGCCCCUGCGCAAGGAUGACAUGCAAAUUAAUGAAGCAUUCCAUGUUUUU